UUGACUUGCUAAUGAGAAUUGUUAUUAUUAUCUCAACUGGUCGCGAGAUCAGCCGGUAACUGAAGGCCCAGGCAGUCGGACUUUCAGGUUAUCUCCUCAUCAGGCUAAUCACGGUUUUUAGACCCGACUCUGUCGGGUCUUUUUUUG
rnacentral:sRNA from 1 species